AGACACGCUCUUGUGCAAGUAUUUUGCACGCUAUACUAUAUAUACAAUUCCUAUAAUAUUAAUAUAUACAAUAUAAAGAAUUUUUUUUUGGGGCCCUCAAGAAUCGGAGGCCCUGUGCGGUGGCGCCACUUGCACCACCCCAGGGCCGCCCCUGCUGAAGAUCAUAGAUGAAAGGACAAAGCCACAUGCAAGGGUAGUUUGAUGCUCCCAACCAACCAAACCAUAGAGCAUCCGAGGAUCCAUGGCAUACCAUAUGCAGUACUAUUAACCAGAGGAGCAUCCAACUCAAUGAA